UGAAGCCAAUACAUUAUGCUGCAGAGAAAGGGCAGUCUGAAGUGUUUCGUGUGUUGCUUGAAAAAACCGACCGAGAUGAACUUAAAACUUCUUUUUGGAAUUGUUUGGAUCUGGCGAUUAAUGAAAAUCAAGUAGAAAUUGCUUAUAUUAUCUUUCAAGUGGAAGAUUCUGAAAAAUGGCAGAUAAUGAUGCAGUCUAGAUCAAAGAUUGAUGAAUCUGUUGACACACCAAUGAGGAAACUUAUAAGAAAAAUGCCUGACGUUGCCAAGGUGGUAUUUGAUAAAUGCGUACAGAUCGAGUCAACAAAGGAUGAGAACUUUAAUGUGAACUUCAAUUAUGAAUUUCUAGAUGACGCGUGCUAUCUAGGCAGAUGGAAAGAAACAACACGUAAAA